GAUGAACGCUAGCUACAGGCUUAACACAUGCAAGUCGCGGGGCAGCAUGGGGGUUGCUUGCAAUCCCCGAUGGCGACCGGCGCACGGGUGAGUAACGCGUAUCCAACCUGCCCUUCACCACGGGAUAACCCGGCGAAAGUCGGACUAAUACCGUAUGUUGUCCAUUGACGGCAUCCGAUUUGGACGAAAGGCUUGGCGGUGAGGGAUGGGGAUGCGUCCGAUUAGCCAGACGGCGGGGUAACGGCCCACCGUGGCUACGAUCGGUAGGGGUUCUGAGAGGAAGGUCCCCCACACUGGAACUGAGACACGGUCCAGACUCCUACGGGAGGCAGCAGUGAGGAAUAUUGGUCAAUGGGCGUAAGCCUGAACCAGCCAAGUAGCGUGCAGGAUGACGGCGCUAUGGGUUGUAAACUGCUUUUAUGCGGGGAUAAAGUGGCCCACGUGUGGGCUUUUGCAGGUACCGCAUGAAUAAGGACCGGCUAAUUCCGUG
rnacentral:rRNA from 1 species